rnacentral:rRNA from 1 species
CAGUAGCCGCGGUAACACGGAGGGUGCAAGCGUUAAUCGGAAUUACUGGGCGUAAAGCGCACGCAGGCGGUUUGUUAAGUCAGAUGUGAAAUCCCCGAGCCUAACUUGGGAACUGCAUUUGAAACUGGUAAGCUAGAGUCUUGUAGAGGGGGGUAGAAUUCCAGGUGUAGCGGUGAAAUGCGUAGAGAUCUGGAGGAAUACCGGUGGCGAAGGCGGCCCCCUGGACAAAGACUGACGCUCAGGUGCGAAAGCGUGGGGAGCAAACAGGAUUAGAGACCCGAGUAGUCCCUGUCUCUUAUAC